GUUCUUGUAGUUGAAUUACAACGGUGGUUUUUCAAGUCACUGGUCCUGGUUAGAGUCCUGGCGGGAAUU
rnacentral:tRNA from 1 species